rnacentral:rRNA from 1 species
UGAGGAAUAUUGGGCAAUGCCCGCAAGGGUGACCCAGCAACGCCGCGUGGAGGAUGAAUGUCGUAAGAUUGUAAACUCCUGUUAGAGGGGAAGAAUAGUACCGGUUGGACCGGUAUAUGACUGUACCCUCAGAGAAAGCCCCGGCUAACUACGUGCCAGCAGCCGCGGUAAUACGUAGGGGGCAAGCGUUGUCCGGAUUUACUGGGUGUAAAGGGCGCGCAGGCGGGAUAAAAAGUCAGUGGUGAAAUCCUACAGCUUAACUGUAGAACUGCCUUUGAUACUUUUAUUCUUGAGUUCGGGAGAGAGAGACGGAAUUCCAGGUGUAGUGGUGAAAUACGUAGAUAUCUGGAAGAACACCAGUGGCGAAGGCGGUCUCUUGGUCCGACACUGACGCUGAGGCGCGAAAGCGUGGGGAGCAAACA